UGUCCUUUUCAAAGUGACGGAUGGCUUCCUUCGAUGUAUGCUCUCUUCGCCGCCUCUGCCCGCCGCCGCCCUCGGUCUUCUUCUCCGGCCGUCCGCCGCCGCCCGCCGGUCUUCUUCUCCAGCCGUCCGCCAUCCGUCCUCCUUCCCCUCCACAUCUGCCCCUAAUCUUCUUCGGCGCCACCCACAGCCUCAUCAAUCUCCAACCUCUUGUUCCCGUGCUUCUCUGAUUUGGAUCGAGAUGGGAGUCCUGGAUCGAGUUAGGGUCUGUGUUCUUCUCCAACACAAAGCCAUGGAGUGACCGACCCGGAUUUGACUUGGCUAUCAUAAGAAGGAAGGGUCCUCGACCGGAAUCUGCCCCAGGCAGGACCUCAAUGGCGACCUGCAGGCCCGGCCUCUGUCUCUUUCGACUCCCUCUUUUUGCGACCUCAAGAAGCUGCGGCGGCUCAUCCUCGAGGCCAAGCUCGUGCAAUUCCGACGACUCCAGGCCCAAUUUGUUUCCUGCUCUAUCGGGUCCAAGUGAUGCGCCAAGGGGAUUUGCACCAGCUUUCAGGAUUGUUCAGUUUCAUGCUAAGAAAAAAAAUAGGUCUGAGGGGAACCACUUCUUUGGCGUGUUGUUCCAGUAGUUCAUGAUGAUGGGCCAGGAGUGAACUAAACUCGUCCGACAGUGUUCUACGGUUCGCCGCAACUUCGUAGGCCGGUUUUCCACUUGAUGUAUGUAGACAAGGAGGAUUGAAAUCAUGGUAUUUGGUUCUCUGCAAUCUACAGUAAUAUGUCUUUGGCCUUAUUUUCCUACUGCUGGUUGUGAUUGUGGUACAUAACACUCUGAUGUUGAAAGGGUGGAUCAGGUCAUGGAGUAGCUAUGCCCCCAUCGAGUAGCUUAUGCAUCCUAUAUUUAGCUUUUCAAGAUUAUUAGAUGUUUUAUGUCAAGAUGAAUACAUGGAUAGUCCACUAUUUGCAGUAUUGUUAUAAUUGCUCCCUGUUUCCGAUAAAAUGAUUUCUUUUGUUCAUUAGUGUUACAAUAUUAUAAUGCAAUGGUUGUUAUAAUAUGGGGAACUGGUUAAUUAUAAGAGACUGUCACAUAUGAGGAUGAAAGCGUGGAUCAGCUCCUGUAGUAGUUAUCUUUGAUUUACGACCGAGUUUACUUAUGGUUAUAGGAUGGAACUUUGUAUUAUUUUGCCAUCUUCUUUCCUUUUUGAAAAUAGCUACAGCAACUGGCAGUUUAAGUUGGUGCGAGCAAGUAAAUAACGCAAUUUUCUUAAUAACUUUUGCCGCGCAUAUUGUAACUGUAAGCCGCAAUUCAGGUUCAAGGUAACUCUCUAUGUAAUUCCAGAGCAGAGGUUUAUAAGGCAACUCUCUAUGAAACAGAUGUUUUGUGAACGAGCAGAUUUGAUGUUCGAUUUGCAUAAACAUGGGAAAUUCGUAGUUAUUUACUAUUCCAAUUUGAAGCUAAUAUGGUAUUUGAUUCAUGCACAGGGCUGAAGGUUUUACUCGAAGUCGUGUUAUAUUAGAGUUAGCGCCUAAAAAAAUGUCAGUGUAUCUCCUGGAGGAGGAGGUGGGAGAGAUGUAGCAGGUAGAAGAUGGACCGUGGAUAAGAAAGAGGAAGGGAUAAAGUGUCAAUCAGCAAUGAAAACUUUAGUAUUUGUGAUGUAAAUUUGAAUGCUAAAGUUUGAAUUUUUUCCUUGGUCUUAAUUUCUUUCUUUCAAAUGCAAGUGGAUUAAUCUGCAUAAAAUUUAAUACUAUGUUGUAUUCAGCUUUAUUUAGAUUUACCUUCCACUCAUAGGUUGGAGUCUAGAGUUUAUGCAUACCGUUGCAUGAGUAUUGUUGCAUCAUGGUCAAUUCUCUUGGACAGAUAGCUGAGGCCAUUGCAUAAUUUCAGAGGAGUAUGAUGCUGCUUUGGAAGGAGGCUUUUCUCAAUCUGUGCUACUUUCAGGGCGAGGCUGGGCCACGUCCACACUAUUGUCGCUCGCCUGCCUGGGCCUGGGACGUGUUAUUGAAGCCUUCACCAUGCUACAGAGGACAGUCCUGAAGCUCAGUGUUAGAAGACAAGUUGGCUUCGUAUAUUGGUGAAAUCUCAACCCAUGUUCUUCAGUUGGCUUCAUAUAUUGGAUGUUGACGCUUCGCUUGCUUCUGAUAAGAAUGCUUGGAAAGCUGUGAUGAAAAAUGGAAAACUUCUGUAGUUUUACAAGACAAGUAAGCGCCUAUGACUUGCAGUCAUCUCCUUUCCUAUCCAGCACAACGCAAGUGCGCAUGACAGCUAGCACAGCAAACACCCACCAAGCAAGCACACGUACGCAGCAGUAGCAUGUAGCAAGCUAUCACACACGCGCCCGACACAACAGCCGACUCGGCAAAAGCACCCUGCUGGACUGGACGACCACGGCGUGUGUGGGCUGAGGCCUCGCCGAAGGAGCGGCGCUUGCGGUGUCUGCAUGUUCGGCCUUGCUGCACUCCAGAAUAGUCACAUCACGGCGCGCUGCAGUAGGGCACGAUUCUGUAAGAGGGAGGAGUAACCAAAGUUGUCAAAACCCGGGACCGAAUUGAUCGGUUGAGUUAGAACCGAAUGCCCAUGCCUAUCUAUAUAUAACACUUCGGUUCAUGUGUCUCCAUCCACACCUCACGACCCGCGCAUGGUCGGUUGUGGCUGUUGCCACUGCGUGUCUCUGACAUGGACUUGCUCCGGUCCGGCUCCACCAUGCUGGAUGUCGUGAAGGCUGUAGUCCAGGAGUUGGGGACGGGCCCCUAUUUCAACUUCAGCAUGGCUCUCCAUUAGCAAUAUAUUCGAAGUGCCAAGGUUGCAAAAGCAAUAUCCGUGGCAAUGAUGUGUUUCUUGUGAUUUGAGAUGCGUAUUUUCUGCCUUAUUGCUUUUUCCUAUGUAUGUGAUUGAUUGGGUUAGAUCUAUAUAGUGUCUUGCUAUUGCUAUAGAGAAGUUAUAAUAGUUCUUCACCAUGAUUUGUAUUUGACCAUAACAAUCGUAAGACAGCUAUGAAUGCUUGACAUUUUGUCCUGAACAAAUGCGGCUAUUAGUUUGUAUUUCAUCUAAGUGCAGUGCAACCAAUUGAAGUUAUUUUGGAA